UGUAAACAAUUGCUGUAAAUUAACAGCCAAUUUUCAACACUAAAAUACUGUUUUCAUGUUAAACAGUUUAGUACUGUAGUUAGCAAUGCAUUGUGGGCUGCUUAAAUUGGAGCAACAAGACAGAGGCCCUCAACAGUAAGUUGAUGUUUUAAAUUACAGGACAAUACAGUAUUUUUUUGAAAAUGCGUGUUGACUGGGGAAUUUGGAGCAUGGUCAGAAGCUAAGCAAUGUCUUAUAAAUUGAGGCUAGCCUAUUGCUUUUGGUCAAUUUUCUUUAAAAAAAUACAGAAAUAAUUUGCCAUUAACUCCUGGAUGGAAUUUCGGAAACCAUUAUUUGGAUUGGAGAUUUUUCAGAAGAGGACGUACAAUUUAGAUGACGUGCUGCACAUUUUCAAGUGUUCUUCAUCAAAUUCAUUGGGUCUUGCAUCUACAAAUGAAACGGAUUAUAUGAACAUCGACUAUCCGAGAUGGUUUUGGUAUCUGCCACUGCAGCUGACGUUGAGACAACUCUCAGUCUUCCUGCAAAUACUCGCCUGAUACCUGGCGCUUCAUUGAUAUAAAUCCAGAGAGAGGGACAAAUGCCAAAAUCAUCAGACAAGAUUGUCUCUUAGAUAUAAGGUGUGAUCGUCCAGAAGUCGUCUUCUGCAGUCAAAUACACACGUGGCCAUGCUACUGAAGGAUCUCCUUGACUUUUUAAUGGAACUUCAUAUAGAUCUUGACAGCACUGGAAUAAUGCUGCAGAGAGGAACAGCGGCUACUAAAGUGAUGAUCGUCUCUUCUGGAUCCACAAGAACUAAGAUGUAAAAACACAAGCCUACCUCACAGGACAAUUUUAAGAGGUAACCUGCAAGUCUAGCUUGCAGUGGCACAGGUGCCUACCCUACGGUUUCAUCCUAAAUGUUUUUUUAUGCAUAUUAUUGAUACAUCCUGACAAAAUGUUCUACUGUACUAUAAUAGUUUCAAAAUGGCCUUAGGUAUGUUUUCAAACUUAUGUCUUAAAUAAAAAAGUAAACUAUAGGUUAUGCCCUUCACAUUUGGUUAGGAUUAGGGGCAGUCUCUGACGAGCAAUUUAAGAACGUACGUUUAUUGCCAUAGUCUAAAGCAAAACACUACUGUUUCUGUUUACUACUUGAAAGCUCUUUUCAGCAUUGUCCAACAGGAUUUAUUUUCUUUCCUUUUUUUGUAUUCAUGUUGACAUAGACAUUGCUCUUUGAAAUAAAGGUGUUUGAUUUGGAAGUUUUUGUUGCUUAUUUUGCAUAAUAUUCACAAUAAUGCAUAUCUUAAGCAGUUGUCUUUAGCCCUGGAAAAUCAUUGGGCAAGUUCAUGGGAGACUGAUAUUUUAAAUAUCAAUGAAAAAUUUUUAGAGACUAAAUUUAUGUUAUUUA